AUCUAGCUACGCCACGUCAUCAAAAAUAUUCAACCAAUCAGAACAUUUUAUUUUUGUCUGAGCUUAAAGUUUAGAUUUUAUUUUUGUCUUGGCUUAAAGUUCGGUUGUGCCCAAAACGCACAUGAAUGGAAACCCUAAAUCAGAUGAAUCAAAAAAAUGGAAGUAGUCUCUCCUAUUCCUUCAUCGGUGAGUCAGCGACGCCUGAGGUUUUCCUACAUAAGUCGUAUUUUCAAGCACUAGCCAUUACUGGAGUCGGUUUAGGUAUCUCUCCACCGCCGCCAGGACAUUGACUCUUCCUUCUAAUUCAGCCCUCUUGAAGCGAGCAGUUUGAUUCUGUGAUUGUUGAUGAGCAGAAGUUAGGCGGAAACGUUCCGGUGAGACUACUAUUACGAGAUUGGUACCUUCUAACUCCAACUCUAAUCUGGAAAGCGUUAAAACCGAGCCUGGUGAGACAGAUUCAUCUCAGCGUAGUUUCGUUUCCUCCAUGACUUCCAAGCGAGCCUACAAGCAAGAUAUCCUUAUUUUCUCCCAGAAAGUUUCUUCAUUUCCAAGUUUUCUAGGAAUUCUAUUUUUCCUGUCUUUGCUCAUGGAUUACUACACAAUUGUUGUGCUGGAUCUGCUGCUUCUAUUAUUAGGAAGAUCUGUUUUUUUCUUUUGUUUUUUUCCUACCCGUGGACUAAUUUAAGACCUCUGGAGACGUGUGUUUGUAUGAAUUUAGGACUUAUCAGUCAAACUGAGUUUUGACUAGCGUCUCCUCAUCUAAUUGCAUUUGCUUAGCCUUGGUUUUGACUUUGUGUGUGAUACGAAGAGGAGUUUGUGGCACAUUCUGCUGCUGUCAACUGUCUAAAGAUCGGAAGGAAAUCAUCCAGGGUUUUGGUCAUUGGUGGGGAAGAUCACAAGGUCAAUCUCUGGGCUAUUUGUAAGCCCAACGCCAUCCUGAGAUUCAGUUACCUUUGAUGCUUCCGAGGUCUUAGUUGCAGCAGGAGCUGCUAGCCAGAACAAUCGGUCUCGCAAGAGAAAAGAACUUGACAAGAAGAUAAAAAGAUGUGGAGGGAUGGCACGAAAGAUAUGUUUCUUAAGACUAAAUGUUAAAGGUUGGAGUUCUUUCUAAGAGUUCAUAGACAAAGAAGUUUAUAAGGAUUUGGCUGAUGUUGAGGUCAAGUUUGGCGAGCUAGAAGCUGAACUUUCCGAAACCAAAGUUGUUAAUGACAAGUUGCAGUGCUCUUACAAUGAACUUGUGGAGUACAAGCUCCUUCUUGACAAGGUACUCUCUAUCGACCACCCAAAACACGGUUGCAACGUUGCAACUGGCACAUAUAAAGAUAUUUUGUCAGCAGGAGCCAUUGAUCCAACCAAAGGUUGUGAGAUGUUGCUUACAAUAUGCUUCAGCCAUAGCUAAAGCAUCUUUGAUGUCCAAAUGUGUUGUUGUCGACAUAAAGGAGCCUGACUCAGCAGCUUCUGCUGCUUUUAGAGCACGUGAUGGUGGACAAAAAGAUUUACAUGAUUUUCAGUGUGUAAUGAUCAACAGAUUUUAGUGACACAGAAAUUGGUGUUGCACAAAAAAGAAAACAAUUUAUGAUGCGGAAGAUGAACCAAGGCCUGCUCUCAAUCGCCAUAUCCAAGAUAUUCAACUCGUGCACUUAAAGAUAGGAGAUCACAUGGUAGUCUUUCAAUCUAUAGAAGGGAAUAGAAUGGCAGAAAAAAUUGCAAAGGAAGAUCUCUCUUUUUUUUUAGAAUAAUUCUCCUAUAUUGUAUUCUGUUGCCAAGUUGGUUGAAUAUCUUAGUGGAGGGUGAUAAUGUGUAAACUAUUGGGUUAAUGAAAAGUAUGAAGGUUGAGCCAAAAAAAAAACAAAGAGAUUAAGAUAUUAACAUGGAAAUAUGGAUUAGUGUUAGUUCUGA